AUUGAACGCUGGCGGCAUGCCUUACACAUGCAAGUCGAACGGCAGCACGGACUUCGGUCUGGUGGCGAGUGGCGAACGGGUGAGUAAUAUAUCGGAACGUGCCCUGGAGUGGGGGAUAACUAGUCGAAAGACUAGCUAAUACCGCAUACGAUCUACGGAUGAAAGUGGGGGAUCGCAAGACCUCAUGCUCGUGGAGCGGCCGAUAUCUGAUUAGCUAGUUGGUGGGGUAAAAGCCUACCAAGGCAUCGAUCAGUAGCUGGUCUGAGAGGACGACCAGCCACACUGGGACUGGGACACGGCCAAGACGCCGACGGGAGGCAGCAGUGGGGAAUUUUGGACAAUGGGGGCAACCCUGAUCCAGCAAUGCCGCGUGAGUGAAGAAGGCCUUCGGGUUGUAAAGCUCUUUUGUCAGGGAAGAAACGGCUCUGGCUAAUAUCCGGAGCUAAUGACGGUACCUGAAGAAUAAGCACCGGCUAACUACGUGCCAGCAGCCGCGGUAAUAC
rnacentral:rRNA from 1 species